UACGGGGGGGCAAGCGUUGUUCGGAAUUCCUGGGCGUAAAGGGCUCGUAGGUGGCCAACUAAGUCAGCCGUGAAAUCCCUCGGCUUAACCGGGGAACUGCGUCUGAUACUGGAUGGCUUGAGAUUGGGAGAGGGAUGCGGAAUUCCAGGUGUAGCGGUGAAAUGCGUAGAUAUCUGGAGGAACACCGGUGGCGAAGGCGGCAUCCUGGACCAACACUGACGCUGAGGAGCGAAAGCCAGGGGAGCAAACGGG
rnacentral:rRNA from 1 species